GAGCUCACUCCACUGUGUAGAGAAAUUCCAAUGAAAAUGGUUUACUUUUCCCCCAGUGCAGAAUUCCUGGCUGCCUGCAGAAUGGAGUCUUUUCCUGGCUACCUUUGAAUCAAGAUGCAGAACUCUCACUCCUCCAGCACCGUGUCUGCCUGGACGCUUCCAUGCUUCCUGCCAUGAUGAUGAUGGACAAACCUGAGUCUCCAAAACCUGUGGAAUCCUUUGCCUCCAUGCUGAGACACUCUCCACUGACACAGAUGGGGCCUGCCAAGGACAAACUGGUCAUUGGGCGGAUCUUUCACAUCGUGGAGGAUGAUCUCUACAUAGAUUUUGGUGGCAAGUUUCACUGUGUAUGUAAAAGACCAGACGUGGAUGGCGA
rnacentral:lncRNA from 1 species